rnacentral:rRNA from 1 species
AUUGAACGCUGGCGGCAUGCUUUACACAUGCAAGUCGAACGGUAACAGGCCGCAAGGUGCUGACGAGUGGCGAACGGGUGAGUAAUGCAUCGGAACGUGCCCAGUCGUGGGGGAUAACGCAGCGAAAGCUGUGCUAAUACCGCAUACGAUCUAUGGAUGAAAGCGGGGGACCGUAAGGCCUCGCGCGAUUGGAGCGGCCGAUGUCAGAUUAGGUAGUUGGUGGGGUAAAGGCCUACCAAGCCGACGAUCUGUAGCUGGUCUGGGAGGACGACCAGCCACACUGGGACUGAGACACGGCCCAGACUCCUACGGGAGGCAGCAGUGGGGAAUUUUGGACAAUGGGCGCAAGCCUGAUCCAGCAAUGCCGCGUGCAGGAAGAAGGCCUUCGGGUUGUAAACUGCUUUUGUACGGAACGAAACGGUCUGGGUUAAUACCCUGGGCUAAUGACGGUACCGUAAGAAUAAGCACCGGCUAACUACGUGCCAGCAGCCGCAUAACAC